UGUUCUCAGUGGUAGCAGAUGACAGGACAUUCCGUCUGCAGGCAGUGGUCAUCCAACUUUGGAAAACACCUGAUGAAGAGGCGAGCAUUCCUGACUACAAAAGUGCAAGAGGCCAUGUGGCCUAGGAGUUGUAGGCAAUCUCGUGCAGUCACCUGUGGACUGUUGUACAGCUUGGCAACCAAAAGGUUGAUGAUGUUGAGCAGGUGGAGUGGGAGAGAUGCUAUUCUUUUGCAUGAGUCGAAAUGUGCUCCUAUGAACUCCUGUUGUGGGAUGGGAGUGAGUGUAGAUUUUCUUUGUUCAUUCGCAGGCCAAGAGCAUGGAAACAUUGGACUGUCCGUUCUGUGGACUGAACGGCUUCUUGGAGGGUCCUGGCUUUGAAAAGAUAGUUGUCGAGGGGUUUGGAUACAGAGAUCGUAAUGUCGCUCUCGAGUCCUUCAUGGAGUGAAGCACAUCACUGGUGUUACUGGCAAAUAGUUUUCCACCAUCAAAAGGGAGAUCUUUUUUGGUAUUCUGAACUGCGCGAAGAAAAGACAAUGACGAAAGCCAUGAAGCUCGAUGCAUCAUAACUGUUGUAGCAGUGGAUCUUGUAGCUGUAUUAGCAACAUCAAGCGCAGCUUGUAGUGCGGUACUGGAGAAGAAGAUUUGUCCCUCAGAGACUAUGGCUUUAAACUGAUUUUUUUUUGCUCUCUGGAAUGUCAUCAAUAAAGUCCAUGAGUUUCUCAUA